rnacentral:tRNA from 1 species
GGGCCUAUAGCUCAGUUGGUUAGAGCGCACCCCUGAUAAGGGUGAGGUCAUUGGUUCGAUUCCAAUUAGGCCCACCA